UACGUAGGGGGCUAGCGUUGUCCGGAUUUAUUGGGCGUAAAGAGCGUGUAGGCGGCCAGGUAGGUCUGGUGUGAAAACUCGAGGCUUAACCUCGAGAUGUCAUCGGAAACCAUCUGGCUAGAGUCCGGAAGAGGAGAGUGGAAUUCCUGGUGUAGCGGUGAAAUGCGUAGAGAUCGAGAGGAACACCCGUGGCGAAGGCGGCUCCCUGGCCGAACACUGACGCUGAGACGCGAAAGCGCGGGGAGCGAACGGG
rnacentral:rRNA from 1 species